UACGGAGGGUGCAAGCGUUAUCCGGAUUCACUGGGUUUAAAGGGUGCGUAGGUGGGCUAGUAAGUCCGUGGUGAAAUCUCCAAGCUUAACUUGGAAACUGCCGUGGAUACUAUUAGUCUUGAAUCUCGUGGAGGUAAGCGGAAUAUGUCAUGUAGCGGUGAAAUGCUUAGAUAUGACAUAGAACACCGAUAGCGAAGGCAGCUUGCUACACGAGUAUUGACACUGAGGCACGAAAGCGUGGGGAUCAAACGGG
rnacentral:rRNA from 1 species